UCUUCCGCAGUAUAGUGGUCAGUAUGUGAGCUUGUCAAUAUCCACCUGGAUAGAAAACAACGCUCGAGACGCGGGGUUCAAUUCCCGGCGGGAGAG